AAUGAAUUGACGGGGGCCCGCACAAGCGGUGGAGCAUGUGGUUUAAUUCGAUGCAACGCGAAGAACCUUACUACUCUUGACAUCCAGAGAACUUUCCAGUGAUGGAUUGGUGCCUUCGGGAACUCUGAGACAGGUGCUGCAUGGCUGUCGUCAGCUCGUGUUGUGGAAUGUUGGGUUAAGUCCCGCAACGAGCGCAACCCUUAUCCUUGUUUGCCAGCGAGUAAUGUCGGGGACUCCGGGGAGACUGCCGGUGAUAAACCGGGGGAAGGUGGGGACGACGUCCAGUCAUCAUGGCACUUACGAGUUGGGCGAGAGCGGUGGUACAUUGGCGCCGGCAGCGGGGAGGACACUUGGGGACGUAAGCGAAUCCUAAAACAUGCGU
rnacentral:rRNA from 1 species